rnacentral:rRNA from 1 species
GGGUUGUGAGGUUAAGCGACUAAGCGUACACGGUGGAUGCCCUGGCAGUCAGAGGCGAUGAAGGACGUGCUAAUCUGCGAUAAGCGUCGGUAAGGUGAUAUGAACCGUUAUAACCGGCGAUUUCCGAAUGGGGAAACCCAGUGUGAUUCGUCACACUAUCAUUAACUGAAUCCAUAGGUUAAUGAGGCGAACCGGGGGAACUGAAACAUCUAAGUACCCCGAGGAAAAGAAAUCAACCGAGAUUCCCCCAGUAGCGGCGAGCGAACGGGGAGCAGCCCAGAGCCUGAAUCAGUGUGUGUGUUAGUGGAAGCGUCUGGAAAGGCGCGCGAUACAGGGUGACAGCCCCGUACACAAAAAUGCACAUACUGUGAGCUCGAUGAGUAGGGCGGGACACGUGGUAUCCUGUCUGAAUAUGGGGGGACCAUCCUCCAAGGCUAAAUACUCCUGACUGACCGAUAGUGAACCAGUACCGUGAGGGAAAGGCGAAAAGAACCCCGGCGAGGGGAGUGAAAAAGAACCUGAAACCGUGUACGUACAAGCAGUGGGAGCCUCUUUAUGGGGUGACUGCGUACCUUUUGUAUAAUGGGUCAGCGACUUAUAUUCUGUAGCAAGGUUAACCGAAUAGGGGAGCCGAAGGGAAACCGAGUCUUAACUGGGCGUUAAGUUGCAGGGUAUAGACCCGAAACCCGGUGAUCUAGCCAUGGGCAGGUUGAAGGUUGGGUAACACUAACUGGAGGACCGAACCGACUAAUGUUGAAAAAUUAGCGGAUGACUUGUGGCUGGGGGUGAAAGGCCAAUCAAACCGGGAGAUAGCUGGUUCUCCCCGAAAGCUAUUUAGGUAGCGCCUCGUGAAUUCAUCUCCGGGGGUAGAGCACUGUUUCGGCAAGGGGGUCAUCCCGACUUACCAACCCGAUGCAAACUGCGAAUACCGGAGAAUGUUAUCACGGGAGACACACGGCGGGUGCUAACGUCCGUCGUGAAGAGGGAAACAACCCAGACCGCCAGCUAAGGUCCCAAAGUCAUGGUUAAGUGGGAAACGAUGUGGGAAGGCCCAGACAGCCAGGAUGUUGGCUUAGAAGCAGCCAUCAUUUAAAGAAAGCGUAAUAGCUCACUGGUCGAGUCGGCCUGCGCGGAAGAUGUAACGGGGCUAAACCAUGCACCGAAGCUGCGGCAGCGACACUAUGUGUUGUUGGGUAGGGGAGCGUUCUGUAAGCCUGCGAAGGUGUACUGUGAGGUAUGCUGGAGGUAUCAGAAGUGCGAAUGCUGACAUAAGUAACGAUAAAGCGGGUGAAAAGCCCGCUCGCCGGAAGACCAAGGGUUCCUGUCCAACGUUAAUCGGGGCAGGGUGAGUCGACCCCUAAGGCGAGGCCGAAAGGCGUAGUCGAUGGGAAACAGGUUAAUAUUCCUGUACUUGGUGUUACUGCGAAGGGGGGACGGAGAAGGCUAUGUUGGCCGGGCGACGGUUGUCCCGGUUUAAGCGUGUAGGCUGGUUUUCCAGGCAAAUCCGGAAAAUCAAGGCUGAGGCGUGAUGACGAGGCACUACGGUGCUGAAGCAACAAAUGCCCUGCUUCCAGGAAAAGCCUCUAAGCAUCAGGUAACAUCAAAUCGUACCCCAAACCGACACAGGUGGUCAGGUAGAGAAUACCAAGGCGCUUGAGAGAACUCGGGUGAAGGAACUAGGCAAAAUGGUGCCGUAACUUCGGGAGAAGGCACGCUGAUAUGUAGGUGAAGCGACUUGCUCGUGGAGCUGAAAUCAGUCGAAGAUACCAGCUGGCUGCAACUGUUUAUUAAAAACACAGCACUGUGCAAACACGAAAGUGGACGUAUACGGUGUGACGCCUGCCCGGUGCCGGAAGGUUAAUUGAUGGGGUUAGCGGUAACGCGAAGCUCUUGAUCGAAGCCCCGGUAAACGGCGGCCGUAACUAUAACGGUCCUAAGGUAGCGAAAUUCCUUGUCGGGUAAGUUCCGACCUGCACGAAUGGCGUAAUGAUGGCCAGGCUGUCUCCACCCGAGACUCAGUGAAAUUGAACUCGCUGUGAAGAUGCAGUGUACCCGCGGCAAGACGGAAAGACCCCGUGAACCUUUACUAUAGCUUGACACUGAACAUUGAGCCUUGAUGUGUAGGAUAGGUGGGAGGCUUUGAAGUGUGGACGCCAGUCUGCAUGGAGCCGACCUUGAAAUACCACCCUUUAAUGUUUGAUGUUCUAACGUUGGCCCCUGAUCGGGGUUGCGGACAGUGUCUGGUGGGUAGUUUGACUGGGGCGGUCUCCUCCUAAAGAGUAACGGAGGAGCACGAAGGUUGGCUAAUCCUGGUCGGACAUCAGGAGGUUAGUGCAAUGGCAUAAGCCAGCUUGACUGCGAGCGUGACGGCGCGAGCAGGUGCGAAAGCAGGUCAUAGUGAUCCGGUGGUUCUGAAUGGAAGGGCCAUCGCUCAACGGAUAAAAGGUACUCCGGGGAUAACAGGCUGAUACCGCCCAAGAGUUCAUAUCGACGGCGGUGUUUGGCACCUCGAUGUCGGCUCAUCACAUCCUGGGGCUGAAGUAGGUCCCAAGGGUAUGGCUGUUCGCCAUUUAAAGUGGUACGCGAGCUGGGUUUAGAACGUCGUGAGACAGUUCGGUCCCUAUCUGCCGUGGGCGCUGGAGAACUGAGGGGGGCUGCUCCUAGUACGAGAGGACCGGAGUGGACGCAUCACUGGUGUUCGGGUUGUCAUGCCAAUGGCACUGCCCGGUAGCUAAAUGCGGAAGAGAUAAGUGCUGAAAGCAUCUAAGCACGAAACUUGCCCCGAGAUGAGUUCUCCCUGACUCCUUGAGAGUCCUGAAGGAACGUUGAAGACGACGACGUUGAUAGGCCGGGUGUGUAAGCGCAGCGAUGCGUUGAGCUAACCGGUACUAAUGAACCGUGAGGCUUAACCUUACAACGCCGAAG